rfam:Streptococcus sp. oral taxon 056 str. F0418 Noncontiguous_Finished_Chromosome, whole genome shotgun sequence.
UGAGUGUUAUGAUGAUGGAAUAAUAUUUAUUCUUAGUCUAGCUCUGGUCUGCCGCUGGAAUAUUUCCAGCGG